rnacentral:rRNA from 1 species
UACGUAGGGUCGCAAGCGUUUAUCCGGAAUUAUUGGGCGUAAAGAGCUCGUAGGCGGUUUGUCGCGUCUGCCGUGAAAGUCCGGGGCUCAACUCCGGAUCUGCGGUGGGUACGGGCAGACUAGAGUGAUGUAGGGGAGACUGGAAUUCCUGGUGUAGCGGUGAAAUGCGCAGAUAUCAGGAGGAACACCGAUGGCGAAGGCAGGUCUCUGGGCAUUAACUGACGCUGAGGAGCGAAAGCAUGGGGAGCGAACAGG